rnacentral:rRNA from 1 species
UAGGGAAUCUUCGGCAAUGGACGAAAGUCUGACCGAGCAACGUCGCGUGAGUGAAGAAGGUUUUCGGAUCGUAAAACUCUGUUGUUAGAGAAGAACAAGGACGUUAGUAACUGAACGUCCCCUGACGGUAUCUAACCAGAAAGCCACGGCUAACUACGUGCCAGCAGCCGCGGUAAUACGUAGGUGGCAAGCGUUGUCCGGAUUUAUUGGGCGUAAAGCGAGCGCAGGCGGUUUCUUAAGUCUGAUGUGAAAGCCCCCGGCUCAACCGGGGAGGGUCCUUGGAAACUGAGAGACUUGAGUGCAGAAGAGGAGAGUGGAAUUACAUGUGUAGCGGUGAAAUGAGUAGAUAUAUGGAGGAACACCAGUGGCGAAGGCGGCACUCUGGUCUGUAACUGACGCUGAGGCUCGAAAGCGUGGGGAGCAAACAGG